GUAAAUGUUUAUCAUUUUGGGUGCAGGCACCACCACAAUGGGCGGUGGGAGGCACGAAUUGGGCGGGUGCUGGGGAACAAGUACCUAUACCUGGGAACCUUUGAUACCCAAGAGGAAGCAGCCAGGGCCUAUGAUCUUGCGGCCAUCGAAUACCGAGGCGCUAACGCCGUAACCAACUUCGACAUUAGCCGCUACCUGGACCAGCCGCAGUUACUGGCACAAAUGGAGCAGGGGCCACAGGUGGUGCCAGCAUUGCAAGAGGAACUUCAACAUGAUCAACAAAGUGACAACGCAGUCCAAGAGCUCAACUCGGGUGAAGCGCAGAAGCCGGGUAGCGUCAACGAGCCGAUUGCAGUGGAUGACACAGACAGCGCCGGAGACAUCGGUGCCCCCCUUGUGUUUGACAGCGGCGUCGAGGAGAACCUGUGGAGCCCUUGCAUGGAUUAUGAUUUGGACCCCAUCUUUGGACGCGACAUCAGCAACUCGAUGAAUCUGAGCGAGUUCUUCAACGACCCCACCUUCGAGAGCAACAUCGGGUACCUGUUCGAAGGAUGUCCCGACAUCGAUGACUGCAGCACCAGGCAUGGCGCAGGCCUGGCGGCGCUCGGUUUUCUCAAGGAAGGUGACGAUAAUAUGAAGGAUGUUCCAGACAUGGAUGCAGAAAUAACUCCUCAAGCAAACGACGUCUCCUGCCCUCCAAAAAUGAUCACCGUGUGUAAUUGA
rnacentral:rRNA from 1 species